UAUAAAUGUGAAUCACACAGUUGCUUUGUUUAAACCACAAUGAUCCGAGGAAACAUUCUUCUUGUCUUUUUAAUUCGUAUGUUGCUAUAUUUUAGCAGCAAAUUCAUCAGUUAUAGACCUCGCCCUAAACUCAACAGCGAUAGACUGUCCAGAAAACCAAGAUAACUCAGUUAAAGGUAGUGGAGACGAUAGUUCAAUAGGAGAUGAGGAUGACGGUAUAACAAUUGACAACGGUAUGCCGAAUAAGGACAUGAGCACUCCAAUGGAGCAUCCUAAUAAAGCAGUAUCAUAUGGUUCAGAGCCAUCUUAUGCACCGCCUGCUGCAGUUAACAGUGGCAGCCUUACAGUACCCGAAACAACAGCAGCCCCUGACUCAACUGGUACAACCCCAGCUCCAGUAGAGACGUGCAUGAUUGACUGUGUGUGCCCCUGUAAAUGGGUCGAGGCGCCGAAAAACUACACAGCAGAGGAACUUAAAGCUGUUGUUACCCAGAUUCAAGAAAAACUCAAAGUGUCCAAAAACUCUCUAAGCUCUACGAUUCGUGCAAAAAGUAGCGCCAAGGACGAAAGAACGGAAGCAUCUGCAGUUGGAAUGGUUGGCGUGGUAUCUUUAGUAGUGAUGUUUGGCGCACUUUUCGUACUUGACCUUACAACAAUUGUACGUGACGUCAGAAUGCUGUUGGGAAACCUACGACAGGUAUUCCAGCCCUAACAUCAUUGCUUGGAGAGAUACAUUUUACGGUUCUGCAGCAAAUUCUCUUCUGUUUGAACCCUUCUUUACAGCUGAUAUUUAGUUUCAGGCGGCGUCACAGCUUCUACAGUUUUUGUUUUUGAUAGUUUAAAAUUAUGUCCUGCGUUGACGCGAAUUUCGAAUUGCUAGGACUUCACAAAAAAGCACAUCAAGACUGAUACAGACGCUAUAGGUAACUUAACUCUAUUCAAACAAUAGAGGUUCUGUUCAUUGUGAUUUAACAAUUACAAACACACUUAAAAUAUUUCUACAGACUGUUUGAGAGAAGUUUUCACAAUCAAGUAUAUUCAUUAUGAGCAGAACAGAAUAGAACAGAUUUUAGUACACAUAAACUAUACAGUUUCUACUGUUUUGCCUCUCAUACAGUUGUUGGUAAAAAUACGUGUAUAUAUGGGAAAUAUAAUCUAAUUGGAUGAACUUAAGAACUUUUUAUGUAAAUUUCAAUAACCUUAAGUAAUCUAAACGGAUUCUUUUAACAAUUUCACGCUAAACACUAAGCAUAGUUUACAAAUCUGCGUAAAAUAUUCAUUUUCUUUUGUAUUUUAAGUAGUUCUGCACGUUUAGUUAACCAGAAGUAAUGACAUAACGUUAUUUAUCCGGAAACCCUAGAAUAAUGCCUGGUAGCCGUUAUACGGUAGCAUAAAUGUUGCGGCGAAUCUGCUAUAUUGUGUGUAUUUAGUGUUGAAACAGUCAGCGCUACUAUAUUUAUAAAGAUUACUUUUGACAAUAAAUAGAUUCUGAUGUAAAAUAAUUCAAAAUAAUAACAUAAAAUACGCUACAAUGUAAGGACUCCAACUGAUAUUUGGUGUAACAUACGAACCUAUAUACAUUUUAUCCGUCCAUAUGAUUGCAAAAAGGUAAAUCCUAAACUAAGAAAGAAAGAAAAAGUUUCAUUGAAAUCUACAUUGAAGACGUCAUCAACAGGGCAAUAAAAGCCCAUUGUAAAACUUGACAGGUGUAGUAAUAUGUCCAAUUCGGUAAUACGAAAAAAAAAAUCUAACACACGUCCUUAAAUUCUAUUGGCUGAAUUCCUUUCGGAAAUAAUAGUCCUAUUAAAAAUAUGGUUUGAUAAAAUUCCACAUUGUAGAACAAUAUUUGUUUCAAACGUGCAGAACUACCUUAAAGAUGAAGUGGAGUGAUUACUGCUUAUAUUGUGCUGAAUUAUAAAUAGUCUAAGAAUCUUGCGCUUUGCUUCUUUUUGAAAGAGUAAAAACGUUAUGGGCACAUGGUGUUUAAGUAUUUCAAUAUAUUUAGUGCUUUAAAAUGAGUGAUUACUAUUUCAGUAAUGUAGUUGGAUGCGAGUGUCUUUUUAAUUUAAUAGCGUUUUAUUAUGUAAAAAGACUCUAAUUACUUGUACGUUUUAGCUGCUGUACUGUUUGUAAUUUAAAGUCAUUGGUGUCACCCUUCCGUUGGCGUAAGCCAACUUUAAGUAGGUAUAUUAGAAAGAAACAAGACAGACUGUUUUCAGACUUAACAUCAUCUUUGUCCCCAGUAGUUGACUCUACAGGGUAUGUUACAUAAGCCUGGUUUACAUUCGCAAUAAACAAUAACCUUAUUAACUAAGAAAUUUCGGCGUAAGUUUUAUUUAUACGCAUGUGUAAAACUGUAUCUGGACCGAACGUUUUCAAAUAAUUUCAAGUCUAAACUAGCUUUUUGUCUCUUUAAAAACCCUUCAGAGCAGUUGCCCUUAUAAUGGAUUCGGUUUAGACAAAACGAUUAUCAUUUCUAAAUGCUCACUACAUAAUUAUCUAAUGUUAAGGCUGCAAAUGUUCACUAUUUAUCUAAUGUUACGGUUUCAAAUGCUCACUACUUAUCUACUGUUAAGUUUGUAAAUGCUCAUUACUUACCUAAUGUUAAAGUGGUAAAUGUUCACUAUUUAUCUAAUGUUAAGAUUGUAAAUGUACACUACUUAUCUAAUGUUACGGUUGCAAAUGAUCACUAUUUAUCUAAUGUUAAGUUUGUAAAUGCUCACUACUUAUCUCAUGUUAAAUUGGUAAAUGCUUACUAUUUAUCUAUUAUUACGUAUGUAAAUGCUCACAAUUUAUCUAAUGUUUAGUUGUUAAAUGCACAAUACUUAUCUUAUGUUCUGUUUGUAAAUGCUCACUAUUUGUCUAAUAUUAGGUAUGUAAAUGCUCACUACUUAUCUAAUGUUAAAUUGGUAAAUGCUCAUUAUUCAUCAAAUAUUACGUCUGUAAAUGCUCACUAUUUAUCUAAUGUUAAAUUGGUAAAUGCUCACUUCAUUUCUAAUAUUACGUCUGUAAAUGCUCAGUAUUUAUCUAAUGUUAAAUUGGUUAAUGUUCAAUAUUUAUAUAAUGUUAAAUUGGUUAAUGCUCACCAUGUAUCUAAAGUUAAGUUUGUAAAUGCUCACUACUUCUCUAAUGUUCAGUUUGUAAAUGCUCACUAUUUAUCUAAAGUUAAGUUUGUAAAUACUCACUAUUUAUCUAAUAUUAAGUUUGUAAAUGCUCACUUUUUCUCUAAACUUAAGUUUGUAAAUGCUCACUAUUUCUCUAAGUUAAGUAUGAUAUUCUAAUAGUUGUGUGUAUAAGUAUAAUAUCCCAUUGUUUUAGUGGUUGAAAUAUUUCUGCUUGUAGCCUCCAAUGUUUCGAAAUCUUGAAUAAUUGUAAAUCACAAAUCUAAUUUCUUGUGCUUUCAUACACAUCCAAUAUCUAAGCUCAAAGUUGCGCAGGUAAAAUUAAAAUCGUUUCAAAAGACCGGAGAUAAAAAGAUAACUGUUUGUCUUACAUAUAAAAUCGACAUAUUCAUUGCUGGAUUUUACAAAUUUUGAUUGCUGUUCUACUCAUGAAACUAUUGAAUCUUCACGGUGUUCACUCGGUGAAAUUCUGUGAUAAAAUGAAAAUCCUCAGUAUAGCUAAGGACAAAUAUUGUAAUGCUCAUUAUGCGAGGUCAUACUAAUUGUGUGUAUUGUAUAUUAAGCGCUUACAAACUACUAUUUGUUUAAUGUAUGAGUAUGUAAAUGUUAUUUACUUAAAUAUUUAUUUUAUGUAAGUUUAAGUCUGUGGUAUCUUACUGACUAUAUGUAGUAUGUAAGAGCUUCCUAGAUAUUAUUUGAAUUAUGCGUGAGUAUGUAAAUGUUAAUUACUUAAAGACUUGUUUCUUAUGUAAGUUUUAAUAUGCAAGGGCUUAUUAGCUACAAUUUGUAAAAUGUCUUUGUAUCUAAAUGUUAUUUACUUAAAGACUUUAAUUAGUGGGUUUUUUUUGUAAGAUUAAGUAUGUAAGGGCUUGUAUGUAGUAUGAAAGAGCUUCCUAGCUACUAUAAUUUGCAUAAUAUGUUAGUAUGUAAAUGUUAUUUACUUAAAGAUUGAUUAUUCUUUGCAAGUUUUAGUAUGUGACGGCAUAUUACUAUAAGUACGAAGUGUGUUAUCAACUGGACGUUGAAUGAUUCGUGUUUGGUUCCCAUCACGUCUCGUGAUCUGUUACCAACUCAUUGAAAAAUGUUAUUGUGGAUUGUAUGUUUUUCGCGUUGCAUUUAUUUCACUGUCAAGAAUCGCGAAUCGCAAGAGAGUUUGCAAGUUGUUCUAUAUUAAUAUUGAUUGAAAUGGAAUCAUCGCGAAUAAUAUCUAGUCUACAGUAUUCCGUUUGUCAAGUAAAGAUUUGUUAUACUUCUAAACCUUUAUAUAUUUGUAUUUUUAAAUUCUAUUAUAUUGUAUUAUGUAUGAUAACGAAUGACAAAAAACCUUAAUACGGCAAGCUUGGACUUAUAGGAAAGGAAAUGGUUUGUUCUUUGAAUGUGGCUUUUCCUGUUGGACUUUGGUCUUUCGUAGUACGGACAAGGUGCAUUUAUAUUACGGAUGUAAUAAAAGUAUUGUUAUGAGAUAUAAUUUACAAAGAAUAAUUUGGAAAUUGAACUUGAAUCUAGUUUUGUUCUCGACUUUCUUUUGGAAUUUUUAAACCCACAGAAAUCUUUCUGGAAAAUAUACCAUCAACAGUGAGGUGCACCAAUAAACAUGUAUAAUGUACAUGGUAUAAGAUGAAUUUGGACAGAUCUACCACAACCAUUUGAUAUUUGUAGGAUAUUGAGCCAUUUUCUUGUAAAACAUAUAUAUCUCUUUAUUCUGAUAAAAUGUAAUCAUUCGUUUUUUAAAUUAAUACACAACUUUAUGCGUAUUUUGUGACUUAUGAAAAAUGUGAUCUUUAGUAAAAUGAAUAAGAUUAUAUCAUUGCGUAAUUUCAUACUUCUGAAGUUUAGAUAUGUUGUUAAUGAAAUAGCGUUUUAGUAAUUUCUAAGAAAUUGGCUAUAUAGCAAAUGGCGGGUUGACGGUUUUGUUUAGUAUAUACAUGUAUUUCACUGUGAUCACUGUUAGAUCAAUUCCCAAGUUGUACGUUCUGGAAUUGUUAUCGUAGGUGCCUGGGCCUGUUUCACAAAAAAUAUAGAAUGACUCAUUCUAUAAGAAUCUUUCACUGGUGGAAGGUGCGGAUGGAAAUAUCUGGCGCGAGGAUGACUGUUAAGCCGUUACGAGGCUCUGCAGAGUUACCGCAAAAAGAGUUAACCAAGUAUCGGAAGCUUCUACCUACACCUACAAACAUUCCUGCAUAUAGUGUUCAUAAAAUGUUAGAACAAAUAAAGUAAAACGUAUGUUUUUUUAAGUACAAUGCUAGCGCUCAUUCAUAAGGUACAGGACAUUAGUCAUUUAACUCCACGGGAUGUAAACGAGCUUUUCCUGCCUAGGCGACACGUGAAAUCCUGGCAUGCAUGUAAAAAUAAUUGUCUCCUACAAAUUGGCAUUUUACACCACAACCAUUUCAUAGAACAUAAAUUACAUCGUCUCCUAAGAAUGUGUGUUCGCCUCACAACUUUUUCAUAGACUAUAACUAAAACUUUGUUAACAAUAUUAUUUUUUGUUCGACUCUGGUCUUUGCAGUAAUGAAUUUCGGAGAUGGUCGUUCCACUUACUGUUCAAUCAAAUCGGUUACAGGGAUUUUUUUACACUUGUACUGAAAAAUAUAUUCCAUUUGUGAUAUUUAUUAAUUGAGAUAUUCUGAACGCUUUGAGCAGUACAUUUACAAGUAAAACCAAACUAGAAAUUUUAAAACAUUUUUUUGUCAUCAAUGGCUGAAAUGCACAAUAGCACAAUGGUAUUCGCACAGCCAAAUCCGCUUAAAACUUUUCAAAUCAAGUUAUUUUCAAAAUUAGAGCAGCUCCUGUCUGUCACUACCUUACAAGUUCAUUACUUUAACAAUUUUGAUAAUGAAUGUUACGAAUUGUUUUGUCUUAUAUUUCAAGACAAAUCAUGGAAAACCAUUGUUAAUUAAAACAAGUUCAAAUUGUAUUUUAAAGAUGGUUAAUCAGAUUUUGAUCAAUAAAUGGAUUUGGUGGGAGGUUUAACAAAUAAUCAUUUACACUUAUUUGUGUUCACUGUCUGCUUAAAACAUGUUAGAAUUUCACAGAAGGUAUUUUUGACAUUUUGAUUCCCCUUUCCUUGUUAAGUAUUAAAGGGGAGUAAUUACAAAUGUCAUAAAGAAAUAAUGAAACAUACAUUUCUAAUAGGGAUAUAACUCUGUGGAACGGACCCUUUUGCUCCUUUGAUUAAACUCUUAUAGAAUGUACUAAAAACGGAACAUUUCAUAAAAUGUUGCUUAAAUGUGACUGACCACCUUUAAUUAGCUUCGUGAAACAGACCCCAUACCAUUUCCUUGGAAUGUAACAAGAAGUCCAAUUCAAGGAGCGUACAUGACAAGGUUUCCUAUAUUAUAUAUUAGAUGUGAAAACUGUUACAGCUAUAGCUAUUGUAAUCAUUGUUAUGCGAUACUGCAUUUUCAAAUAAAUUAUCU